AGUGAACGCUGGCGGUAGGCCUAACACAUGCAAGUCGAACGGCAGCACAGGAGAGCUUGCUCUCUGGGUGGCGAGUGGCGGACGGGUGAGGAAUACAUCGGAAUCUACCUUUUCGUGGGGGAUAACGUAGGGAAACUUACGCUAAUACCGCAUACGACCUACGGGUGAAAGUGGGGGACCGCAAGGCCUCACGCGAUUAGAUGAGCCGAUGUCCGAUUAGCUAGUUGGCGGGGUAAUGGCCCACCAAGGCGACGAGCGGUCGCUGGUCUGAGAGGAUGAUAAGCAACACUGAAAGUGAGACACGCUCAAGACUCCUACGGGAGGCAGCAUUGGGGAAUAUUGGACAAUGGCCGCAAGCCUGAUCCAGCCAUACCGCGUGGGUGAAGAAGGCCUUCGGGUUGUAAAGCCCUUUUGUUGGGAAAGAAAUCCUAUCGGUUAAUAACCGGUGGGGAUGACGGUACCCAAAGAAUAAGCACCGGCUAACUUCGUGCCAGCCGCCGCCGUAACAC
rnacentral:rRNA from 1 species